rnacentral:miRNA from 1 species
CAAAUGCAUCUAGAUGAAU